rnacentral:rRNA from 1 species
GGUGAGAAUGUCUGGAAUGACUUCUCUCCUAAAAGACAUAGAUACAUGCUUCUAUUUCGCCUGGGGAUGGGGCCGCGCCCGAUCAGGUUGUUGGUGAGGUAACGGCUCACCAAGCCUAUAACCGGUACGGGCCGUGAGAGCGGUAGCCCGGAGAUGGGUACUGAGACAAGGACCCAGGCCCUACGGGGCGCAGCAGUCGCGAAAACUCCGCAAUGCACGAAAGUGUGACGGGGCUACCCCGAGUGCCAUCCGCUGAGGAUGGCUUCUCUUUGGUAUAACUAGCCAUUGGAAUAAGGAGAGGGCAAGACUGGUGUCAGCCGCCGCGGUAAUACCAGCUCUCCGAGUGGUAGGGAUGAUUAUUGGGCUUAAAGCGUCCGUAGCCGGCUUAGCAAGUUUCCUGUUAAACUCAGCGACUCAAUCGUUGGAUCGCGGGAAAUACUACUAGGCUAGGAGGCGGGAGAGGUCAACGGUACUUCUGGGGUAGGGGUGAAAUCCUAUAAUCCCGGGAGGACCACCAGUGGCGAAGGCUGUUGACUAGAACGCGCUCGACGGUGAGGGACGAAAGCUGGGGGAGCGAACCGGAUUAGAUACCCGGGUAGUCCCAGCUGUAAACGAUGCGA